UUCACAUUUUGAAUUCUUGUAUAACUUCUCAACAUGUAUUGCAAGUGUAUUUUAUUGGUUGUAUUUUUCUGUGUUCAAAACAGUGAUGCUCAAAAUAAAAUAGAGAAGUGGAACAAUUUUUUUGAAAAAAAUAAUGAAAAUGGUGUAAUGCCCAUUAGUGCGUUUAAAUCGUUUGUACAAGAUAACUAUGGUGUCACCCAAGAUUACCAGGACAUGGUCAACAAGAUUGAAGUCAAUAACGUGAUGGGUAUGUUAAAUGAAGAUUUUAUGCAUGCAAUUCAUAAUAUUGACAUUUACGACCCUCCUAGUCAACAUGCAGAAGCAAUGCAUACUAUUGACAUUUCCGACCCUCCUAGUCAACAUACAAAAAUUCUCGACAAGUCCUCAACAAGAUGGACGAGGUGGAUAAGAUGGAUAAAGGGGACUUUAAGAAUGAUAUGCUGAUAUUAUUAAUUAAUAUAUAACCAUGUAUGUUAUUAUUAUUAUAUAACACAGAAAAUAUUAGAUUAAUAGAUAUUGUUUUAAUGAUUUCGUUUUUAUUUA